UCUUCGGAGAGUUUGAUCCUGGCUCAGGAUGAACGCUGGCGGCGUGCCUAAUACAUGCAAGUCGAGCGGACUGAUUAGAAGCUUGCUUCUAUGACGUUAGCGGCGGACGGGUGAGUAACACGUGGGCAACCUGCCUGUAAGACUGGGAUAACUUCGGGAAACCGAAGCUAAUACCGGAUAGGAUCUUCUCCUUCAU
rnacentral:rRNA from 1 species